ACCAGAUAAAGUGAUAUAGACAAUGAGAAAGUUUGAAUAAAAAACAAAACCAGAUUGUAUUCCACCAUCAAAAAAGCGAUAUAGACAGCAGCGCAAACAUAAACUGUGCCACCGAAAGGAAACUGAUUGAAAUCUUUAAUUUUUGACAUAUAAAAACCCCACCAGACAUACCCCAAACUCUUUCUUCCCAAGCAAAUUUAUCUUAUAUAGUCAGUUCUAUAAAUCUUUGUCUUUUUUUGUGUUUAUUUUCAGUUGCAGUUUGCAAAUAUGAGUGACCCCAAGUAUGCUUAUCCCUACCCUGCUCAAGGUUAUUAUCAAGGGCCCCCGGUGAUGGCACCACCACAAUAUGCUGCUCCACCUCCACCACCAAGGAGAGAACUUGGUUUCCUUGAGGGCUGUCUUGCAGCUUUGUGUUGCUGCUGUCUCAUUGAUGAGUGUUGCUGUGAUCCUUCCAUCAUCUUUGUGAGCUGAUAACGUCUGUAAUUACACUGCAUCAUUAAUCCCACUUUUAUAUUUUUUUUCUGAUAUAGAUUGAUAAAAUGUAAUGUAAUGCAGAAAGUCUGAUCUUAAGGAAUCUUUUUAAUAAUUUAU